GAUGAACGCUGGCGGCGUGCCUAAUACAUGCAAGUCGAGCGAACGGACGAGAAGCUUGCUUCUCUGAUGUUAGCGGCGGACGGGUGAGUAACACGUGGAUAACCUACCUAUAAGACUGGGAUAACUUCGGGAAACCGUAGCUAAUACCGGAUAAUAUUUUGAACCGCAUGGUUCAAAAGUGAAAGACGGUCUUGCUGUCACUUAUAGAUGGAUCCGCGCUGCAUUAGCUAGUUGGUAAGGUAACGGCUUACCAAGGCAACGAUGCAUAGCCGACCUGAGAGGGUGAUCGGCCACACUGGAACUGAGACACGGUCCAGACUCCUACGGGAGGCAGCAGUAGGGUAUCUUCCGCAAUGGGCGAAAGCCUGACGGAGCAACGCCGCGUGAGUGAUGAAGGUCUUCGGAUCGUAAAACUCUGUUAUUAGGGAAGAACAUAUGUGUAAGUAACUGUGCACAUCUUGACGGUACCUAAUCAGAAAGCCACGGCUAACUACGUG
rnacentral:rRNA from 1 species